UACGUAGGGUGCAAGCGUUAAUCGGAAUUACUGGGCGUAAAGCGUGCGCAGGCGGUUUUGUAAGUCUGACGUGAAAUCCCCCGGGCUUAACCUGGGAACUGCAUUGGUGACUGCAUUGCUGGAGUAUGGCAGAGGGGGGUGGAAUUCCACGUGUAGCAGUGAAAUGCGUAGAGAUGUGGAGGAACACCGAUGGCGAAGGCAGCCCCCUGGGCCAAUACUGACGCUCAUGCACGAAAGCGUGGGGAGCAAACAGG
rnacentral:rRNA from 1 species